GAACCAAACACAUGUACGAUGUAAAAUAAUGUACUGCAAUAAUGUACUGCACAAGACACUAACAUAUGUACGACGCAAAGUCAAUCUAAUAGACACGAUCAACUUAACACAUAUAACAUUCACACUGUACGACGUACCUGAAUAUUACUGUAUACAUACAUUAAGCUAUGCCUCGAACAAUUGAACCAAACAAAAAAAGUUAACACUAUUGAGAUAAUUUUUCUGUGAAUCGAAAAAUAUUGCGAGAUUCAGAUAAGAUAAGAGUUUAAGAUAAUUUGACGAAUGACACCAAAUUAUAAAACAUCAUUCACAAAAAGUUCCUUUGCACUUGUCCACCAGAGAACCGGGAAGCAAGUCCUUGAGACAUAUUUUCAGGAUCCAAUUUAACUUUUUGCCGACCGGCGGUAAGAUCCUUUUCACGGUCCCAUGGUUUCCAUGGGUGUUGUCCAACCCACUCUCCACCUUCUUUGUCCUUGUUUGAUUGUUUAUCUUUCUUUUUGCGUUGUCGGCUGCUACUACUACUGCGUUCCUCUUUAUGCUUUUGAACCAGAGACUUGGAUCGUUUCGACUGGUUGUAUUUGUCGACUAGAUCUCCAUGUGAAUUGGAAGGGUUCCUUUGACCAUCGUCUGCAGCGGCAAGAUUUGUGGUUUUAUUCAAAGCUUCCAAGUAACUGAAGUAGAUAGAGAAAAAUGAUUAGAAAUUCACUCAAAGAAACAUUGGCAAACAAAGUUUAUUUUGUUUUUGGAAAUUAUUCACUAAGCCCUAAACUCCAAAAAGUAAAAUCCCUAAUAUAUCAACUGCAUUACACCAUGUUGUACAUCUCUAACUAGAGUUUGUACAAUAAACAUUAAACCACAUAUUAGACUCAGCCCUAAUCUACACAUUAGUAAGAUUGAACCAAAUGAUCCACCCACUUUUCCAUCAUGCAUAGGAAAAAAAUAUCAUUGAUAUGAAAUGAAAGAAGCAUGAUAGAAAAUUUACUUCUGCUUUGCUUGUGCAGUUUUCUCAAGAGGGUUGUUUGUCCACAUGCUAGUGUCGCCACGACCUUCCUUUUCAGUCCUACUAAAUGAGGUGGUUGAUUGAGUGGCCAUUCCAGGCUGCAAAAGAAAGGAAACCAGAAAAAUAUGUGUAAGGGUCUUCUAAAUAUUACAUUUUUUACUUGGAUUUUUGGUUUUAGGAUUAAGGUUCUCGUUUCUUACUUUCCUUUCAGGAGGCAAUUUGGUCAUCCACUCAUCUCUAACUUUUGGUUUUUCUGUUUCUGCAAGAAGCACAUCAUCACCUUCCAUGGAAAUACCUGAAAAAAAGAUAGAUCUUCAGUAUGUAACAAUCCCAAAAUCUUGGAAUUUUUACCAUCUUUGUAUACUAAUCAUUAUCAUCAUAUGAACAAACCUUGCAAUUUUCUCCAUUGUGCAGCUUCACGAAGAGACCGCAGUUCAACCUGCAUAAGGGGGGAAGGAACUUGUUCAAAAUAUAUGUGCAUGCAAAUAAUAACAAGAAGACACUAAUGUAAAAAGGAAAGAGAAACUUAGAUUGGCAAACACUGCAGGGAAGAAUGAUGUUUGACAUUUGUCAAAACACUUAUUGUUUGAGAGUUCAUGAUGAGAUUUAAUUACAGUAAAUAAUAACGCAUGUCUCAAAAUCAACUUGGCCAAAGCUUUCAACACAGUUGACUGACAUGCAGGAAGAUGCACUCUGUAGAAGAUGGGACUUAAAUAAUCUAUUUGUGGAGCAUAUACUUUGAAUCUUCAAUGCAUAUCAAGUUAUCAACCAUCUCUUUUUUCAUGUUUUAAGGAGCUAUCUCCAGAAAAACUCGAGACAACUUUUGGAUAACAAAAAUCUCAAGCACAUGGUCAUGGAUCUAAUCCAGUGAUUCAUACAAAGAUCACUUAGUUUAGAAGUAGGCAGAUACAUAGCCAAAUAAAUUAAAAAAAUAUAUUUAAAUAAAAGAAAAAUAGCAAACAUACAAAUAUACAAACACGACAUUAAAAUAUUAAAUAAUGAAAGCAAUUGUCGUCAAUCUCAC
rnacentral:lncRNA from 1 species